CCUGUCUUUUACUUGAGCAGCUACCACUCUCGCAGUCUGUGACCUUACUGUUUGCUCCCACCAGUUCUUGUCCAUGCUUUGGCUUUUCUCCAUGCUGACCCCUUUAGUUGUUCUAGGCACCUUCAGCCUCCUUUCAGAGAGACAGUAAGCUCAGUGAGGGCAAGGACCCUGUCUUUCUUAUUCCCAGCUUUACCCGCAGCACACAGCCCGGUUUCUUAUCUAGAGUGACCAGAGAAACUGUCUCCUCAUUGAAAUGAAUCCAUGGAAUGAAAACAGACUGUGAGUUCAGAAAGUUUGAUGACUGCUGCCUUGAAAACUUUCACAAAUAUACAUGAGGAGACAUGCACAGCAAGCAGAGAUCAUCAAGCACUGAAAGCAAGAUGAUGAAAGACUCUUCCACCAUUUCUUCGGUUCUUGCAUGGCGUUUAAACCCCGGGAUUCUCAUGCAAUCCCAAGACAGAGAAGGACCCUCGAAAAUGAACGGUCAUUGAUUUCCCACCAGCUCUAUUGAGUGGGCAAGGUGGUAGGAAGGGGGCGAGCGUCAGAUUUAACCUGAUUGUC
rnacentral:lncRNA from 1 species